CUACACAUGCAGUCGAGCGGUAGCACAGAGAGCUUGCUCUCGGGUGACGAGCGGCGGACGGGUGAGUAAUGUCUGGGAAACUGCCUGAUGGAGGGGGAUAACUACUGGAAACGGUAGCUAAUACCGCAUAACGUCGCAAGACCAAAGUGGGGGACCUUCGGGCCUCAUGCCAUCAGAUGUGCCCAGAUGGGAUUAGCUAGUAGGUGGGGUAACGGCUCACCUAGGCGACGAUCCCUAGCUGGUCUGAGAGGAUGACCAGCCACACUGGAACUGAGACACGGUCCAGACUCCUACGGGAGGCAGCAGUGGGGAAUAUUGCACAAUGGGCGCAAGCCUGAUGCAGCCAUGCCGCGUGUGUGAAGAAGGCCUUCGGGUUGUAAAGCACUUUCAGCGGGGAGGAAGGCGGUGAGGUUAAUAACCUCAUCGAUUGACGUUACCCGCAGAAGAAGCACCGGCUAACUCCGUGCCAGCAGCCGCGGUAAUACGGAGGGUGCAAGCGUUAAUCGGAAUUACUGGGCGUAAAGCGCACGCAGGCGGUCUGUCAAGUCGGAUGUGAAAUCCCCGGGCUCAACCUGGGAACUGCAUUCGAAACUGGCAGGCUAGAGUCUUGUAGAGGGGGGUAGAAUUCCAGGUGUAGCGGUGAAAUGCGUAGAGAUCUGGAGGAAUACCGGUGGCGAAGGCGGCCCCCUGGACAAAGACUGACGCUCAGGUGCGAAAGCGUGGGGAGCAAACAGGGAUUAGAUACCCUGGUAGUCCACGCUGUAAACGAUGUCGAUUUGGAGGUUGUGCCCUUGAGGCGUGGCUUCCGGAGCUAACGCGUUAAAUCGACCGCCUGGGGAGUACGGCCGCAAGGUUAAAACUCAAAUGAAUUGACGGGGGCCCGCACAAGCGGUGGAGCAUGUGGUUUAAUUCGAUGCAACGCGAAGAACCUUACCUGGUCUUGACAUCCACAGAACUUUCCAGAGAUGGAUUGGUGCCUUCGGGAACUGUGAGACAGGUGCUGCAUGGCUGUCGUCAGCUCGUGUUGUGAAAUGUUGGGUUAAGUCCCGCAACGAGCGCAACCCUUAUCCUUUGUUGCCAGCGGUUCGGCCGGGAACUCAAAGGAGACUGCCAGUGAUAAACUGGAGGAAGGUGGGGAUGACGUCAAGUCAUCAUGGCCCUUACGACCAGGGCUACACACGUGCUACAAUGGCAUAUACAAAGAGAAGCGACCUCGCGAGAGCAAGCGGACCUCAUAAAGUAUGUCGUAGUCCGGAUUGGAGUCUGCAACUCGACUCCAUGAAGUCGGAAUCGCUAGUAAUCGUAGAUCAGAAUGCUACGGUGAAUACGUUCCCGGGCCUUGUACACACCGCCCGUCACACCAUGGGAGUGGGUUGCAAAAGAAGUAGGUAGCUUAACCUUCGGGAGGGCGCUUACCACUUGGAU
rnacentral:rRNA from 1 species